UAAGUAGUCACUAUAACUUUUACUGUAGCUUUCAAAUAUGAUUGACAGAAAAACAUGCCAAAAUCUUGAUGGGUUUUCUUCCUACUCAUCUAGUGUAAAAGAAAUGUGAAUCAAUGUUCAAUUUACAAGUACAGAUUAUGAAACUGUUUAUCAGUUCCAAUACACGGGAAAUGUAAGUGUUAUUGUAUAAUAUAUGACCUCUUUGGCCAGUUUGAUCAGCAGUUUUCAAUAAGAAUUUCUGAAAGACAAAGAGGAAUGGGAUUCUAUUGCUGAGUGUAAGGAAAAACGAAACAGACCCUAAACCAAGCAUAGGCAACCUCAGCCCUCCAGAUGUUUUGGGACUACAGUUCCCAUCAUCCCUGACCACUGGUCCUGUUAGCUAGGGUUCAUGGGAGUUGCCUAUGCCUGCCCUAAACUCAGUACGAUACAACAGCAUAAACUAUGGCUUGUGUUGGAUGGCUGCUCAAGCAGGCAGCAACUUGUGCACAUGAUCUUUAUUUUCUGGCGCCUCCCCACCACAGCUCUCUGUACCCCCAAAACCAUCUCACAUCGGUUGGGUGCCUAAAUCAUGAGGGCUGUUUAAUGUGGGGCUGCAGUGCAAAGGGGAAUAUCCCAAAUUUAGGCAAUUCAUCCCCUGCACUGCAGACUCAUACAGGUCCAUACAGAAUAGCUCCUAUUGUUCAGAAUGCUUUUGACCCUACGGAGAGAAAGAUCAGCUGUGUGAGCUUAAGCAACCAAUGGAUAAAACCUUGUCAAAGGGAACAACAGCUAUAACUAAAGUAGAAUAUUAUUUCCUUGGUGUACUGUUAAGAACAUUUUAGAAGAAACUGCUCUGUAAAUUCUUCACUCCAUACAUAUGGAUCAGUCCAUAUAGUAUUUUUUCUCUUAUGGAUUAGUACAGCCAGCAUAUCUUGAAAUUUAUCAUCCCAAGGAAAACUAAACAUAACAGUCAAAUGUUAUGGUUGUAGCAUGAUCAUGUAAAAAUGAAUCAUGCAAACCAAUUAUUUCCUUGUUAGUUUCUAAAUAUUUUAUUGGUUGAAAUGAAUUUACUUCACAAUAUGUACCAUUCUUUAAUUCAUAGCAUAAUUAAACUAUCCUACUUUGACUUUAUCAUAUCUAUUUGAAUACAGUCCAGUAUAAUUGCCAGUGCAGUGCAUAAGGACAUACAACCCACAGUAAAAUCAAUACAGUAGAGCAAAAACUAAAAUAAAACAAAUUCACAGUUAAAAACCCUCAGCAGAUUAAAAG